UACGUAGGGUGCAGGCGUUAAUCGGAAUACUGGGCGUAAAGCGUGCGCAGGCGGUCUCUUAAGACAGGUGUGAAAUCCCCCGGGCUUAACCUGGGAACUGCGCUUGUAACUGAGAGGCUAGAGUGUGGCAGAGGGGGGUGGAAUUCCACGUGUAGCAGUGAAAUGCGUAGAGAUGUGGAGGAACACCGAUGGCGAAGGCAGCCCCCUGGGCUAACACUGACGCUCAU
rnacentral:rRNA from 1 species